rnacentral:rRNA from 1 species
GAUGAACGCUAGCGGGAGGCUUAAUACAUGCAAGUUGAGCGGUAAGUUGUUUAUAGUAAUAUAAAUGGCCUAGAGCGGCGCACGGGUGAGUAACGCGUACAUAACCUGCCCUAUACAGGAGGAUAGCCUUGGGAAACUGAGAUUAAUACUCCAUGGUAUUAUUUGAUUGCAUAAUUAGAUAAUUAAAGAUGAGUCGGUAUAGGAUGGAUGUGCGUCUGAUUAGCUAGUUGGUAGGGUAACGGCCUACCAAGGCGAUGAUCAGUAGGGGGCGUGAGAGCGUGGACCCCCACACGGGUACUGAGACACGGACCCGACUCCUACGGGAGGCAGCAGUAAGGAAUAUUGGUCAAUGGAGGAAACUCUGAACCAGCCAUCCCGCGUGAAGGAUGAAGGGGCUCUGCCUUGUAAACUUCUUUUGUCUGGGGCGAAAAAGCCUGAUUUAUCAGGAACUGACGGUACCAGAAGAAUAAGCACCGGCUAACUCCGUGCCAGCAGCCG